GACGAACGCUGGCGGCGUGCUUAACACAUGCAAGUCGAACGGAAAGGCCCUGCUUUUGUGGGGUGCUCGAGUGGCGAACGGGUGAGUAACACGUGAGUAACCUGCCCUUGACUUUGGGAUAACUUCAGGAAACUGGGGCUAAUACCGGAUAGGAGCUCCUGCUGCAUGGUGGGGGUUGGAAAGUUUCGGCGGUUGGGGAUGGACUCGCGGCUUAUCAGCUUGUUGGUGGGGUAGUGGCUUACCAAGGCUUUGACGGGUAGCCGGCCUGAGAGGGUGACCGGCCACAUUGGGACUGAGAUACGGCCCAGACUCCUACGGGAGGCAGAAGUGGGGAAUAUUGCACGAUGGGCGGAAGCCUGAUGCAGCAACGCCGCGUGCGGGAUGACGGCCUUCGGGUUGUAGACCGCUUUCGCCUGUGACGAAGCGUGAGUGACGGUAAUGGGUAAAGAAGCACCGGCUAACUACGUG
rnacentral:rRNA from 1 species